GAUGAACGCUGGCGGCGUGCCUAAUACAUGCAAGUCGAACGAAACUUCUUUAUCACCGAGUGCUUGCACUCACCGAUAAAGAGUUGAGUGGCGAACGGGUGAGUAACACGUGGGCAACCUGCCCAAAAGAGGGGGAUAACACUUGGAAACAGGUGCUAAUACCGCAUAACCAUAGUUACCGCAUGGUAACUCUGUAAAAGGUGGCUAUACUACCGCUUUUGGAUGGGCCCGCGGCGCAUUAGCUAGUUGGUAGGGUAAAGGCUUACCAAGGCAAUGAUGCGUAGCCGAAUUGAGAGGUUGAUCGGCCACAUUGGGACUGAGACACGGCCCAAACUCCUACGGGAGGCAGCAGUAGGGAAUCUUCCACAAUGGGCGAAAGCCUGAUGGAGCAACGCCGCGUGGGUGAAGAAGGUCUUCGGAUCGUAAAACCCUGUUGUUAGAGAAGAAAGUGCGUGAGAGUAACUGUUCACGUUUCGACGGUAUCUAACCAGAAAGCCACGGCUAACUACGUG
rnacentral:rRNA from 1 species